rnacentral:rRNA from 1 species
GACGUAGGAGGCGAGCGUUGUCCGGAUUCAUUGGGCGUAAAGAGCGCGCAGGCGGCUUGGUAAGUCGGAUGUGAAAUCCCGAGGCUCAACCUCGGGUCUGCAUCCGAUACUGCCCGGCUAGAGGUAGGUAGGGGAGAUCGGAAUUCCUGGUGUAGCGGUGAAAUGCGCGGAUAUCAGGAGGAACACCGAUGGCGAAGGCAGGUCUCUGGGCAUUAACUGACGCUGAGGAGCGAAAGCAUGGGGAGCGAACAGG